rnacentral:rRNA from 1 species
UACGUAGGGUGCGAGCGUUGUCCGGAAUUAUUGGGCGUAAAGGGCUCGUAGGCGGUCUGUUGCGUCAGGAGUGAAAACUCGGGGCUUAACCCCGAGCCUGCUUCUGAUACGGGCAGACUAGAGGUAUGCAGGGGAGAACGGAAUUCCUGGUGUAGCGGUGAAAUGCGCAGAUAUCAGGAAGAACACCCGUGGCUAAGGCGGUUCUCUAGUACGGUACUGACGCUGAGACGCGAAAGCGUGGGGAGCGAACAGG